UACGAAGGGGGCUAGCGUUGUUCGGAAUUACUGGGCGUAAAGGGCGCGUAGGCGGUGUGUCAAGUCAGGCGUGAAAGCCCCGGGCUCAACCUGGGAACAGCGCUUGAGACUGGCACGCUCGAGUUCGGGAGAGGAUGGUGGAAUUCCCAGUGUAGAGGUGAAAUUCGUAGAUAUUGGGAAGAACACCGAUGGCGAAGGCAGCCAUCUGGACCGACACUGACGCUGAGGCGCGAAAAGCGUGGGGAGCCAAACAGGG
rnacentral:rRNA from 1 species